AACGAACGCUGGCGGCAGGCCUAACACAUGCAAGUCGAGCGGACAUCUUCGGAUGUUAGCGGCUGACGGGUGAGUAACGCGUGGGAACGUGCCCUUUGCUUCGGAAUAGCCUCGGGAAACUGGGAGUAAUACCGGAUGUACCCUUUGGGGGAAAGAUUUAUCGGCAAAGGAUCGGCCCGCGUUGGAUUAGGUAGUUGGUGGGGUAAUGGCCUACCAAGCCGACGAUCCAUAGCUGGUUUGAGAGGAUGAUCAGCCACACUGGGACUGAGACACGGCCCAGACUCCUACGGGAGGCAGCAGUGGGGAAUCUUAGACAAUGGGGGAAACCCUGAUCUAGCCAUGCCGCGUGAGCGAUGAAGGCCUUAGGGUUGUAAAGCUCUUUCACCGGGGAAGAUAAUGACGGUACCCGGAGAAGAAGCCCCGGCUAACUCCGUG
rnacentral:rRNA from 1 species